CGCGGGGUGGAGCAGUGGCUAGCUCGUUGGGCUCAUAACCCAAAGGUCGUAGGUUCGAGUCCUACCCCCGCUA
rnacentral:tRNA from 1 species